AAAUCAGAAGAAGUAAUUUAUUUGUUGAUUUUUUAUGAGACUAUCAUUUUCCUUGACUGAAAUCGGAGUGCCAGAUACCAAUUUUUAGAGAUUAUCAUUUUAUUUGAAUUCCUGAAAUCAGAAGAACUUAUGAUGGAUGAUAUUCCCACUAUUUCUAGAGAGAUAACAAGCCCUGUCUUACCCAUAUUUAAUGAUUGUACAGGUGGUAUAUUGACUCCUC